rnacentral:lncRNA from 1 species
AUACUAAUGAAAAACGAUCAUAUAUAGCAACAUACGUAAUAAAAAUUGUCGAUAUGGAGUCUCUCUCACUCUCUCACAUUUUCUCUGUACUAUACUCCCUCUUCCUGUGAUGACGUGAGAGGACACAAUGAUAACAUGAAAUGAGAAGAGUGACACGGGCAUUGUGACUUUGCAGUAGGCGGCUAAUAACGUUGCUUCAACACUGGCACUGAGAGACAGAGACCACUGAGAUACUUACUGGCUGUGAUGCCUGCCAUGUGACUGGUGGCGGUUUGUAUGCGCAGUGUGAAUGUGGAAGACACAGGAAUGAUUCCCAACCCCUAGAGUCACUUACAAAAGAAGAGAAGGAAAAAGGAAGUACAAAAGCCUAAACAAGAUGCUAAAGGAAAGACAAGAAAAAAUACUAAACUCUUCAGAUUGGACUUUAAUGUGGAGAUUACACGGUUCCUGAGAGUUGGCUUCAGUUUUCACCUAGGAACCUCAGAGAAGCCCUCUUUCCCCUGUUCAUGGGGCAAGGUGUAUGGACACUGCUGUGGUGUGCAGGACUGAAGGGGCAGGUCUACCAGAGGGUCUCCCACUGCUUCUCUGCUCUUCAUUGCUCCAAAGAGGUGGGCCCACCAGAAGGUUGCAAGCUGCUGCCAGGCUACUCCAAUGAACUGAGAUGAAGGCAGAAUUGUUUGCACAGUCACAAGGAGAAAUGUACAUUUUGAGUAACUUUAAGAAGAUGAUGGUCUUUAGGAAGAAUCCAUACACAAUGCCUCGAAGAUACGCACUAAACCCUCCCACUCGGCACCCAGUCUCUCUCCCUGUCUUCCAAGGUAAUUUUCCGAUGUGUUGUCUUAUACUCUAUGAAAUGGAAACCUGGUCAAACGUGUUGGCUAAGAACAGUUACUCCAAGCUUUGUCUAGAGACAAAGUGAGAUUGGAAUAACAUCACUGCCACCUGUUUUCUAUUUUCCAAACUGGUUGCUGCAACAUUAUGAAAGAGUAAUACUUCCAUCCAUCUUGCUGCCUGUAACCCCGGUUUUAUGAGUGUUAACUGCAAUCUGUUUUAAGGAAUUUACAUAAAGCCUCCAAGAAACAACAGAAAGAAAAUUGUAUUAUUAUGAAUUUCGAAAUUGCCAAAGCUCACCAAUGUUUAUUUUAUUUUAAUAUUACCGCCAAU